rnacentral:rRNA from 1 species
AACGAACGCUGGCGGCAGGCUUAACACAUGCAAGUCGAACGAGAUCUUCGGAUCUAGUGGCAGACGGGUGAGGAACACGUGGGAACAUCCCUUUCAGUUCGGAAUAACGUUGGGAAACUAACGCUAAUACCGGAUACGUCCUUCGGGAGAAAGAUUUAUCGCUGAAAGAUUGGCCCGCGUCUGAUUAGCUAGUUGGUGAGGUAACGGCUCACCAAGGCUACGAUCAGUAGCUGAUCUGAGAGGAUGAUCAGCCACAUUAGGACUGAGACACGGCCCAAACUCCUACGGGAGGCAGCAGUGGGGAAUAUUGGACAAUGGGCGCAAGCCUGAUCCAGCCACGCCGCGUGAGUGAUGACGGCCUUCGGGUUGUAAAGCUCUUUUGUCCGGGAAGAUAAUGACUGUACCGGAAGAAUAAGCCCCGGCAAACUUCGUGCCAGCAGCCGCGGUAA